rnacentral:rRNA from 1 species
AUUGAACGCUGGCGGCAUGCUUUACACAUGCAAGUCGAACGGCAGCGCGGGCUUCGGCCUGGCGGCGAGUGGCGAACGGGUGAGUAAUGCAUCGGAACGUGCCCAGUAGUGGGGGAUAGCCCGGCGAAAGCCGGAUUAAUACCGCAUACGACCUGAGGGUGAAAGCGGGGGACCGAAAGGCCUCGCGCUAUUGGAGCGGCCGAUGUCGGAUUAGCUAGUUGGUGGGGUAAAGGCUUACCAAGGCGACGAUCCGUAGCUGGUCUGAGAGGACGACCAGCCACACUGGGACUGAGACACGGCCCAGACUCCUACGGGAGGCAGCAGUGGGGAAUUUUGGACAAUGGGGGCAACCCUGAUCCAGGCAUGCCGCGUGCGGGAAGAAGGCCUUCGGGUUGUAAACCGCUUUUGUUCGGGAAGAAAUCCUCUGGGCUAAUACCCCGGGGGGAUGACGGUACCGGAAGAAUAAGCACCGGCUAACUACGUG